rnacentral:misc_RNA from 1 species
GAACCAGAAAAAAAAGUAUAGAGAGAGAAACUUCUGCUUUCUCCCCUCUCUCUCUCUAUUUCUCUUUCCUUUCUCUCUAUAUGUAUAGAUAACUCUGUAUUUAGUGAAGGAUUAAAACUAGACAUUGAGUAUAGCAAGGAGAUUUAGCAAAAACAAAAAUCCAUAAAGAUUCAGUUUUUUUUCCUGUUUUUGAGAGAUUUAAGAGAACCCCAUUAAAAUUUAAUCUAUUUAUCUAUCUGGGUGUGUGUUUAAAAUGGCUGAAAGAAAAGGAAACAAGAAAAGAUUGUGUAUAAAUCUUUCCCUUUUUACCCUAACUGAUAACAACAGCAGCAGCAGCAGCAAUAAAUCUCCUAAAAAGUUUGAGGACCCAAAUGGUGCUGUUGUUGGGCUUGGAAUUGUGGCAGCUAUGAAUAAGGAGAGCAAUAGUAGAGCUGCAAUUAUUGCUAUAUCUCCAAGAUCAACUACUUCAAACCCAAUCCCAAUUUUUACUAGUUUUAAGAAGAAGCCUAGUAUUGAAGAAAUGGAGAUGUGUGAGGAGUAUACUUGUGUUAUUUCUCAUGUUGGUACAAAUUUGGUUAAGAAAAGAGUGUAUUUUGAUGGUCAAUUUAUAGGAAAUAGCAAUUUUAAUGCCUACCAGAAAACUGUUAAUCAUACAACAAGUUUUACUAUGGCUGAUUUCCUCAAUUCUUGCUUUCUUUGCAAGAAACAGCUUAAGGGGUUGGAUAUUUUCAUGUACAGAGGGGAGAAGGCGUUUUGUAGUGCAGAGUGUCGUUGCACACAGAUAUCAAUCGAUGAACACAAAGAGAAAUGUGGUUCUGGAGCUAUGAAAUCACUUAGCGACUACUCUGUUUCUCCUUGCUCGGGUCCAAUGCAGUUUUUCACUGGUGUAGCUGUGGCAUAACUCAAAAAACUCGUAUGGUGUACGUACCACCAACGUUGCAUAAUAUAUAAAUAAAUAAAAAGAUAUAUCGGUUUUGAAAGGUACCUGAAUAAGAAUUGUUGUGUACCCAUCGGGUUAAGAAAGAUGUUAGAUAUUUAUGUCAUGGACACAUCCUGAGCAGGCAAUCUUUGCAACUCAAAAGAGUAUGAAAAAGUACAUUUCUGGGAAAAAAAGCAUGUAAUGAAGUUUGUUAUAAGCUAGUAAAGAAGGAUUUUACAUUUUAAUCAUAAGUUGGAAAUCA